GCCUACGGGGGGCAGCAGUGAGGAAUAUUGGUCAAUGGCCGAGAGGCUGAACCAGCCAAGUCGCGUGAGGGAAGACGGCCCUACGGGUUGUAAACCUCUUUUGUCGGGGAGCAAAGCGAGUCACGUGCGACUCAUUGAGAGUACCCGAAGAAAAAGCAUCGGCUAACUCCGUGCCAGCAGCCGCGGUAAUACGGAGGAUGCGAGCGUUAUCCGGAUUUAUUGGGUUUAAAGGGUGCGCAGGCGGAAGCGCAAGUCAGCGGUAAAAUUGAGAGGCUCAACCUCUUCCCGCCGUUGAAACUGCGUGU
rnacentral:rRNA from 1 species